CAUUUUCGACACUAAAGCUGGCAUUGCAUUGAACAACAACUUUUUGAGAAUGAGGUUACAGUAACCAUGUGGUCGACUUGAUUCGCCACAUAGCACGAGUUAGCGUGGUUGUCAUGAGCGCAGUUUUUCCUGUCACGCUGUGACUAUCACCACUGAUUAAGAAAUUUGUAGGGCUUAAAGGUGGUACUUGCAGUCCAGAGAAGAAUACCAGGUUCUAUUUGAUGGUAGAAUAUGACAAGGAACAAAUGCAUUCAAAGCUUUAGCCCUCGGUGCAAAGCGGUUAUGGUUGGGCGAGCGAUGGUGUAUGGGUUAACAACAAAAGGUGAGUAUGGAGUAAAUACACUGAUUGAGAUGUUGAAGGACGAACCUGAGUUCACAAUGGCUCUUUCCGGCUGCCCCACUCUCAACAAUGCUACCAGGAAUCAUAUCAGAACUUAGGCCGGUAAUCGCUAUUGUAGAUUGCAGUUUUAAAGUAUCUUAUGAAGAAUCAUUUAAUAUUAAUUUAUAUAAUCCAGAAUAAUAAAUUGAAGG